GGACGGCUAGGCCGCUCAGGCGAUCAGGAAAGGGAAUCCGGUAGGCAACGAUCCGGAGCUGCCCCCGCAACUGUGACCGGCGAGCCGCUCGCCCCCUGCGUGCCACUGGACCGUUCGCGAUCCGGGAAGGCCGGGCGAUGGUGACGACCCGGGAGCCAGGAAACCUGCCGGAUCGCGGUUGUCCUUC
rnacentral:ncRNA from 1 species